rnacentral:rRNA from 1 species
UACGAAGGGGGCUAGCGUUGCUCGGAAUUACUGGGCGUAAAGGGUGCGUAGGCGGUUGUUUAAGUCUGUCGUGAAAUCCCCGGGCUCAACCUGGGAAUGGCGAUGGAUACUGGACAGCUAGAGUGUGUCAGAGGAUGGUGGAAUUCCCGGUGUAGCGGUGAAAUGCGUAGAGAUCGGGAGGAACAUCAGUGGCGAAGGCGGCCAUCUGGGACAACACUGACGCUGAAGCACGAAAGCGUGGGGAGCAAACAGG